rnacentral:rRNA from 1 species
GACCGAUAGUGAACCAGUACCGUGAGGGAAAGGCGAAAAGAACCCCGGCGAGGGGAGUGAAAAAGAACCUGAAACCGUGUACGUACAAGCAGUGGGAGCACCUUCGGGUGUGACUGCGUACCUUUUGUAUAAUGGGUCAGCGACUUAUAUUCUGUAGCAAGGUUAACCGUAUAGGGGAGCCGCAGGGAAACCGAGUCUUAACUGGGCGUUAAGUUGCAGGGUAUAGACCCGAAACCCGGUGAUCUAGCCAUGGGCAGGUUGAAGGUUGGGUAACACUAACUGGAGGACCGAACCGACUAAUGUUGAAAAAUUAGCGGAUGACUUGUGGCUGGGGGUGAAAGGCCAAUCAAACCGGGAGAUAGCUGGUUCUCCCCGAAAGCUAUUUAGGUAGCGCCUCGUGAAUUCAUCUUCGGGGGUAGAGCACUGUUUCGGCUAGGGGGUCAUCCCGACUUACCAACCCGAUGCAAACUACGAAUACCGAAGAAUGUUAUCACGGGAGACACACGGCGGGUGCUAACGUCCGUCGUGAAGAGGGAAACAACCCAGACCGCCAGCUAAGGUCCCAAAGUCAUGGUUAAGUGGGAAACGAUGUGGGAAGGCACAGACAGCCAGGAUGUUGGCUUAGAAGCAGCCAUCAUUUAAAGAAAGCGUAAUAGCUCACUGGUCGAGUCGGCCUGCGCGGAAGAUGUAACGGGGCUAAACCAUGCACCGAAGCUGCGGCAGCGACACUAUGUGUUGUUGGGUAGGGGAGCGUUCUGUAAGCCUGCGAAGGUGUGCUGUGAGGCAUGCUGGAGGUAUCAGAAGUGCGAAUGCUGACAUAAGUAACGAUAAAGCGGGUGAAAAGCCCGCUCGCCGGAAGACCAAGGGUUCCUGUCCAACGUUAAUCGGGGCAGGGUGAGUCGACCCCUAAGGCGAGGCCGAAAGGCGUAGUCGAUGGGAAACAGGUUAAUAUUCCUGUACUUGGUGUUACUGCGAAGGGGGGACGGAGAAGGCUAUGUUAGCCGGGCGACGGUUGUCCCGGUUUAAGCAUGUAGGCUGGUUAUCCAGGCAAAUCCGGAUAACCAAGGCUGAGGUGUGAUGACGAGGCACUACGGUGCUGAAGUAACAAAUGCCCUGCUUCCAGGAAAAGCCUCUAAGCAUCAGGUAACAUCAAAUCGUACCCCAAACCGACACAGGUGGUCAGGUAGAGAAUACCAAGGCGCUUGAGAGAACUCGGGUGAAGGAACUAGGCAAAAUGGUGCCGUAACUUCGGGAGAAGGCACGCUGGUGUGUAGGUGAAGCCCCUGCGGGUGGAGCUGAGACCAGUCGAAGAUACCAGCUGGCUGCAACUGUUUAUUAAAAACACAGCACUGUGCAAACACGAAAGUGGACGUAUACGGUGUGACGCCUGCCCGGUGCCGGAAG